UGCAACGACGAAAACCUUAACCUACCCUUGACAUGUCCGGAAUCCGAAGAGAUUUGGAGUGCUCGCAAGAGAGCCGGAACACAGGUGCUGCAUGGCUGUCGUCAGCUCGUGUCGUGAGAUGUUGGGUUAAGUCCCGCAACGAGCGCAACCCUUGUCAUUAGUUGCCAUCAUUUGGUUGGGCACUCUAAUGAGACUGCCGGUGACAAACCGGAGGAAGGUGGGGAUGACGUCAAGUCCUCAUGGCCCUUAUGGGUAGGGCUUCACACGUCAUACAAUGGUCGGUACAGAGGGUUGCCAACCCGCGAGGGGGAGCUAAUCCCACAAAGCCGAUCGUAGUCCGGAUCGCAGUCUGCAACUCGACUGCGUGAAGUCGGAAUCGCUAGUAAUCGUGGAUCAGCAUGUCACGGUGAAUACGUUCCCGGGUCUU
rnacentral:rRNA from 1 species